rnacentral:piRNA from 2 species
GUGGAGAGGAACAAUUCUGAGUCU